GUGUUUGCUUAGGCAGCACAUAUACUAAAAAGAGAAUGACACAGAGAAGAUUAGCAUGGUCCCUGUGCAAGGAUGAUGCACAAAUUCCUGAUGUCUCCCACAUAAAA
rnacentral:snRNA from 1 species